rnacentral:lncRNA from 1 species
GACAGGUCAUGUAUACAUCAACAAGGUCCAAUCAAAUCAAUAGAUUUUCAAAAGAAGUAGAUACCUCCCAGAUAUGGGGAUAGCCCGUGGUGACCAUUUUUACCAAAUGAAGCGAACCACCCAAUCCACAUGAAUAUCUUAUUGAACUAUAAUAUAAUGUUCAACCACUUAUUUAUAAGAAUUCACAAUUUUUAUCAAUUUUUUUAUCACAUAUUUCAUCAAAUUUUCUCAAAAUUUACUAAAAAAAUUGACUUUU